rnacentral:rRNA from 1 species
GACAGAGGGGGCAAGCGUUGCUCGGAAUCACUGGGCGUAAAGGGCGCGUAGGCGGGAUGGCAAGUCGGUCGUGAAAUCCUUCGGCCCAACCGAAGAACGUCGGCCGAUACUGCCGUUCUUGAGGGAUGCAGAGGAGACUGGAAUUCCCGGUGUAGCGGUGAAAUGUGUAGAGAUCGGGAGGAACACCGGUGGCGAAGGCGGGUCUCUGGGCAUUUCCUGACGCUGAGGCGCGAAAGCGUGGGGAGCAAACAGG